UACGUAGGGGGCGAGCGUUGUCCGGAUUUAUUGGGCGUAAAGAGCUCGUAGGCGGUUCGGCAAGUCAGAUGUAAAAACUCCAGGCUCAACUUGGAGAGGCCAUCUGAUACUGCCGUGACUAGAGUCCGGUAGAGGAGCACGGAAUUCCUGGUGUAGCGGUGAAAUGCGCAGAUAUCAGGAGGAACACCGGUGGCGAAGGCGGGUCUCUGGGCCGAUACUGACGCUGAGGAGCGAAAGCGUGGGGAGCGAACAGG
rnacentral:rRNA from 1 species